rnacentral:rRNA from 1 species
UACGAAGGGGGCUAGCGUUGUUCGGAAUUACUGGGCGUAAAGCGUGCGUAGGUGGUUCGUUAAGUCUGUCGUGAAAGCCCCGGGCUCAACCUGGGAAUGGCGAUGGAUACUGGCGAGCUUGAGUACGAAAGAGGAUCGCGGAAUUCCCGGUGUAGAGGUGAAAUUCGUAGAUAUCGGGAGGAACACCGGUGGCGAAGGCGGCGAUCUGGGUCGAUACUGACGCUGAGGUGCGAAAGCGUGGGGAGCAAACAGG